rnacentral:rRNA from 1 species
UACAGAGGAUGCAAGCGUUAUCCGGAAUGAUUGGGCGUAAAGCGUCUGUAGGUGGCUUUUAAGUCCGCCGUCAAAUCCCAGGGCUCAACUCUGGACAGGCGGUGGAAACUACCAAGCUGGAGUACGGUAGGGCAGAGGGAAUUUCCGGUGGAGCGGUGAAAUGCGCAGAGUAUCAGGAGGAACACCGGUGGCGAAGGCGGGUCUCUGGGCCGAUACUGACGCUGAGGAGCGAAAGCGUGGGGAGCGAACAGG